CGGGAUAGCUCCGGGAAACCGGAAUUAAUACCGGAUAUGAUCACGGCCGACAUCGGCCGUGAUGGAAAGAUUUAUCGGCCAGGGAUGGGCUCGCGGCCUAUCAGCGUGUUGGUGGGGUAAUAGCCUACCAAGGCGACGACGGGUAGCAGGCCUGAGAGGGCGACCGGCCACACUGGGACUGAGACACGGCCCAGACUCCUACGGGAGGCAGCAGUGGGGAAUAUGGCACAAUGGGCGAAAGCCUGACGCAGCGACGCCGCGUGGGGGAUGAAGGCCUUCGGGUUGUAAACCCCUUUCGGCAGGGAUAAGUGAAAGUGACGGUACCUGCAGAGGAAGCGCCGGCUAACUACGUGCCAGCAGCCGCGGUAACACGUAGGGCGCAAGCGUUGUCCGGAAUCAUUGGGCGUAAAGAGCUAAGUAGGCGGUCUGUUGCGUCCGCAUGUGAAAACUCGAGGGCUUAACCCCGAGCCUGCAGUGGAUACGGGCAGACUAGAGGUAGGUAGGGGAGAAUGGAAUUCCCGGUGUAGCGGUGAAAUGCGCAGAUAUCGGGAGGAACACCGGCGGCGAAGGCGGUUCUGUGGGCCUUACCUGACGCUGAGGAGCGAAAGCGUGGGGAGCAAACAGGAUCAGAUACCCUGGUAGUCCACGCCGUAAACGUUGGGCGCUAGGUGUGGGAUCCUUCCACGGAUUCCGUGCCGCAGCUCACGCACUAAGCACCC
rnacentral:rRNA from 1 species